GAUGAAGAACGCAGCGAAAUGCGAUAAGUAAUGUGAAUUGCAGAAUUCAGUGAAUCAUCGAAUCUUUGAACGCAUCUUGCGCUCCUUGGUAUUCCUUGGAGCAUGCCUGUUUGAGUAUCAUGAGCAAAUCUCAAAGUCAAUUCCUUUUGUUAAUUCAAUUGGUUUUGCUUUGGACUUGGAGGUCUUGCAGAUUUUCACAGUCUGCUCCUCUUAAAUGCAUUAGCUGGAUCUCAGUAAUUAUGCUUGGUUCCACUCGGCGUGAUAAGUAUCACUCGCUGAGGACACUGUUAAAAAGGUGGCCAGGAAAAUACUGAUUGAACCGCUUCUAACGGUCUAUUAAGUUAGACGAUUACCCUUAAGUUUGAUCUCAAAUCAGGUAGGACUACCCGCUGAACUUAAGCAUAUCAAUAAGCGGAGGA
rnacentral:misc_RNA from 1 species